CGGAUCCCCUCUUCUGCCUCCCGGGCAAUAGCCCAGAAUAGCUGCAGUGCAGUAGUAGUAGUGCAGAGAGGGGCAUAGCCCCGCUUAGCCUCCGCCUCCGUUUCCGCCUCCUAAGGGUGCUGUCUUUGCCUCAAAAGUUCAAAUAGAAGCAUACACAUAGUGAAAAUUAAAAAGAAAAGAGAAAAGAAUUGCUUCCACUUUUUAUGAUUUGACCGCACAUGACCCCUUCUCGCUCAGUAACAAAAGAGCAGCAGCAGCAGCAGCAGCAGAGGACAGAGAUCCUCCACUCUCUCUCUCACUCACUCUCCUUCUCUCUUCAAAUCCCCCCUCUC
rnacentral:lncRNA from 1 species